rnacentral:lncRNA from 1 species
UUUAACUCUUAUAUCUUUUAGAUUUAUGUUUACUAGAAGCCAUGGAUGUGAAAGUAUGUAAAAUUAUAAGACUCUGGGAAGACAGACUGAGAAUAGAGGAGAAAUAAUCUGCCAUGUUGUUAGCUCCCCUGUGAGGAGACCCAUGUGAUGAGGAACUGAGGCCUGACAACAGUCAGAAGAGUGGGCUUGGAAGUGGAUCCUUAAGCUCCAAACCUUGAGAUGAUCCCAUUUCUGGCCAACAUCUUGACAGAAAUCUGAUGCAAGACCCUGAGCCAGAACCACCCAGUUUAGCUGUACCCUGAUCCUUGACCCUGAGGAAUUGUGAGAUAAAUGUUUUCUCUCUCAAGCUUCUAAACUUUGGGGUAAUUUAUU